CAGUGAAUAGUUUAUUAAAAUAUUAAUUUUGGAGAUUGAAGAUAGGAUUAUUCCUUUCGCUGA
rnacentral:tRNA from 1 species